CCCUUAGAUGUUCUGGGCCGCACGCGCGCUACACUGACUGGUGCAACAAGUGUCGCUCCUUGGCCGAUGGGCCUGGGCAAUCUUUGAACGCCAGUCGUGAUGGGGAUAGAUUCUUGCAAUUUUUGAUCUUCAACGAGGAAUUCCUAGUAAACGCGAGUCAUCAACUCGCAUUGAUUACGUCCCUGCCCUUUGUACACACCGCCCGUCGCACCUACCGAUUGAAUGGUCCGGUGAACCCUCCGGAUCGGCCCGCGCCAACGCAAGUUGAGCAAAGGCCGAGAAGUUGGGUAAACCUUACCAUUUAGAGGAAGGUGAAGUCGUAACA
rnacentral:rRNA from 1 species